rnacentral:rRNA from 1 species
AUAUCAAUAAGCGGAGGAAAAGAAACCAACAGGGAUUGCCCUAGUAACGGCGAGUGAAGCGGCAACAGCUCAAAUUUGAAAUCUGGCCUUCGGGUCCGAGUUGUAAUUUGUAGAGGAUGCUUUUGGUGCGGUGCCUUCCGAGUUCCCUGGAACGGGACGCCAUAGAGGGUGAGAGCCCCGUCUGGUUGGACACCAAUCCUCUGUAAAGCUCCUUCGACGAGUCGAGUAGUUUGGGAAUGCUGCUCUAAAUGGGAGGUAUAUGUCUUCUAAAGCUAAAUACCGGCCAGAGACCGAUAGCGCACAAGUAGAGUGAUCGAAAGAUGAAAAGCACUUUGAAAAGAGGGUUAAAUAGUACGUGAAAUUGUUGAAAGGGAAGCGCUUAUGACCAGACUUGAGCCCGGUUAAUCAUCCAGCCUUCUGGCUGGUGCACUUGGCCGGCUCAGGCCAGCAUCAGUUCGGCGCGGGGGAUAAAGGCUUCGGGAAUGUGGCUCCUCCGGGAGUGUUAUAGCCCGUUGUGUAAUACCCUGUACUGGACUGAGGUUCGCGCAUCUGCAAGGAUGCUGGCGUAAUGGUCAUCAGCGA